AAAAAAUUAAAAUGUAGAAUUUGGCUGCUGACUUCCUUAAAUGUGAACAAAGCAUAGCGGUACAGCGAAGGAACAAAGUCUAUCUUUGGGACAGGAAGAACACUGGCGAAGAAGAACAGAACGUCAGCAGGAUUCAGUGGAACAUGGGCUCCUGGUGAGGGGACAGUGCAGGAAAAAAGCAAAACUACAUUAGAAGGUUGGCCUCCAAGACUUGAACCCUGGCAUUGCUGGAUGUCCUCUCUAGAGUGGAUUCUAGAACA